rnacentral:rRNA from 1 species
GUAGGUGGCAAGCGUUGUCCGGAAUUAUUGGGCGUAAAGCGCGCGCAGGCGGUCCUUUAAGUCUGAUGUGAAAGCCCACGGCUCAACCGGUGGAGGGUCAUUGGAAACGUGGGGGUACUUGAGUACAGAAGAGGAAAGCGGAAUUCCAAGUGUAGCGGUGAAAUGCGUAGAGAUUUGGAGGAACACCAGUGGCGAAGGCGGCUUUCUGGUCUGUAACUGACGCUGAGGCGCGAAAGCGUGGGGAGCAAACAGGAUUAGAUACCCUGGUAGUCCACGCCGUAAACGAUGAGUGCUAAGUGUUAGGGGGUUUCCCGCCCCCCUUAGUGCUGCAGCUAACGCAUUAAGCACUCCGCCUGGGGAGUACGGCCGCAAGGCUG